rnacentral:ncRNA from 2 species
ACUGCAUCAUAAGCGCCAGCACUUGGCACCAGCGUUCGGCAUGCUGGACAAGUGGACGAGGUGGAGGUGUUCGAAAUUGUUCGGCGGGGACCUCCCGGUGCGCCAACGGCACCGCAAUAGCAUGACGGAAAGAGGCAAGGCGACUUGCCGGACAACGCCUGCUUACGUUGACA